CCCAAAACAAGUCAGUCAGGGUAAUUUGGAUUUCUUUGAGUUGGAAUACUUCUGCCUCGUAAUUCAUAUCAGGGCCUGGUUCAUCCCUAAUCCACAAAGUGCAAUGAAGUAGGGCCAUUGAUUGAUCAUCAUGUGGAGGUGCAAGUGCAGGUAGUUGCAGAUUUGUUAGAACUUCCGGGUUGAUAUCCAGGCUGUACCAGUGGUACACAAUUCCCCCCUUGGGAAGUGGCAGAAGAGUGGCCGGGUUCAGGGUUAGGCAUCUCUGAAGUUUUAUGUUAUCAGGUAAAAGCAAUGAGGUUUGCAGGCGGAGGUGGCGUUGGGAGGAAAGGUGCUUGGGUUGAACUUGUUGCAGGAUAGCAGUAAUGUCAUGGGGGGCCAACACGGUAAGGUGAUGGCCAAGCACAAAGUCAUUAGUCUUGUCCAGGAGGGCACUGGCGGCAAACACAGCACGGAGGCAAGAGGGGCUGCCCCUUGCAACAGGGUCAAGCAUACAGGAAAAAUAGCCAAUGGGCCGUUGUCUGGACCCAUGUUUCUGAGUAAGGACUCCGGAAGCAUGUCCUGAUUUUUCAGAGACAAACAAAUUGAAAGAGAGUUGAUAGUUGGGUAGGCCCAAGGCAGGAGCAGAGGCAAUAGCUCUUUUCAGAGUAUGGAAACAGUCAAUAGUUUCUUCAGUGAGGUGAAAGGGCUCACUUCGAAGUGCAUCAUAGAGAGGUUGCAUGAGUUUGGAUGCUUCAGGUAUCCAAGACCUGCAGUAUGUUAUGAGACCCAAGAAAGCAUGAAGAGAGUGAUGGGUUGCAGGUAAUGGGAGUUGCAGGAUAGCUUGCACCCGUUGUGAGGUUAGAUGUUUGGUGCCAUGGGAAAGGCAGUGUCCCAAGAAGACCACAGAGGGCCGGCACCAUUGUAGCUUUGAUUUUGAGGCCUUGCACCCGGCAGCAGCGAGGAAACAUAAGAGAUCUUCUGAGUCACGUUCUGCAAUUAGCAAAUUAGGAGCACAGAGUAGAAGGUCAUCAACAUAUUGUAGUAAAACAACAUCGAGAUGUGAUUUCUGCCAGGGAUCCAGAACCAGAGACAUGGCAUGAGCAAACUGUGUUGGGGAGUUCUGCGCUCCCUGGGGCAUAACAGUCCAAGUAUAUUGUUGUCCUUCAUGUGUGAAGGCGAAGAGAAAACGGCAGGAGGGAUCAAGGGGAACACUGAAAAAGGCAUUAGCCAGAUCCACAACAGUAAAAAUUGUUGAAGUUGGUGGCACUUGGGACAAAAGGGUAUGAGGGUUUGGAACAAUAGCAGUGUCCUUUAUGGUUACCUCGUUAACAGCACGGAGGUCCUGUACCAUACGGUAUUGGUCGGGUUGGCCCUUAACAGUUCGCUUUUUAACAGGGAAGAGAGGGGUGUUGCAUGGAGAUGUACACUUGGUGAGGGCACCUUUUGCAAGCAGGGUCUCAACUUGCUUGGUGAUGGCCUCAGCUUGUGCUGGCUUCAGAGGAUACUGAGGUCUACGAGGGGGGAGUGCACCAGGCAGGAGCUGGACCAGGACUGGGGGUACAUGUAAGCGUCCAAUAUCAUCCGGGCCGGUGGACCAAAGUUCUUGGGGGAUACGAUCCAGGGCACUGGGGGUGUGUGUGACCCGUGCAUUCCCUGUAUUGUCAGUUAGAUUCAACAAAAUUGGGAGUGAGCAGAGUACAGAAGUAUCUUUCUGCGAUAAGGGGGUUGUCAACUCAACCUGUCCAUCAGCAGUAAAGGUAAUGGAAGCCUGGAGCCGAGAGAGAACAUCGGCACCUAGGAGGUUAAUGGGGCAGGUGGAGGAAACAACAAAACGGGACAGGAUAUGUGAGCCUACAUGUAAGAGCUUGGUGAGGGGGUUACUGCGUGGUGUACCAUCCACCCCAACACAGGAGACAUCAGUGUCAGAUAGGAAGGAAGGGUCUGGCAGGUCUUGUUCCCUAAGGACACUACGGGCUGCACCUGUGUCAACUAAAAAGGUGGUUGGGUGACCCUCCACGGGGAGAACUACAGUAGCUAAAGGUCCUCCUCCAUCCCCCGCAGACACUGCCAUGGCAGGGGUUGCUGACACAGGCUUGCCAGUUACCUAUUGUAAUAAAUCUAGGUGGGCUUGAUCCGGUCCCUGGUACCGGCGGGAGGUGGAGGGAGGGUUAGCAGUAUGCAUAGGUGGGCGGGAUGGACGGAGGGCAUGGCGGGGAUGAGGUGGGUUGUCUUGGAGGUCAUCAGUAUCAUACCCUUCAGCAGAGGGCGAGGUGUAUGCACGGGCUUCUGCUGCGGGGAGCCGGGCUUGGGAAUACUCAGGAGGCGGAGGGGGAGGAGGUGGAGGAGGUAACUGAGGCAACUGUGGAUGGGGUAGGGUAGGGAGGUAACCGGUGGAGGGGAAACUGUAACUGGUGACAUGUGGAUUUUGGUACCGGGGAGUCUGCUGGCGGAACACUCUAGGGUGUGGGCAAUCUCUUCUAAAGUGACCUGGCUGAUUACAAUUAAAGCAGGUCCGGAUUGUCGUGACAGACCGAUCACGGGAGAAAGGAAUUGGUGCAGGCAGUGUCUGGGGGGGCUGGGUGUACUGUUGGGGAAACAUCUGAGGACCCUGGCUUGGACCAGCGAAUGGGGUGGAGGUAGCAUACAUCAGAGGACUGGGUCUACGUAGUGUAGGUAGCAAAACAGAUUCUAAGCCCUUGGCAACUAGCAAAAGAGUGUCCAGUGGAAUAAUUCUAUACUCAGGCCGAGCUAAGAUUAACCCCUUACGGAUGUGUUCUCUAAGCCCUGCCACAAAGGCUGCAGAUAGCAUCUGGGUGUGUGCUUUGUUGUAAGUACUAAACCCUAAGUCUGAAAAAGUCUGAGUCAACCUAGAGUGAUACUUCUCAACUGUCUCAAGUUUGUCCUGUAUAAUGUCAUUAAUGCAAGUAGCCUGAUCUGCUAGUUUAUCCUGUGCCCAAGCUCGAAGCUGUUCACAAAAGACUUCACCAGAACGAAAGUCAGUAUCAGAAGUAAGUGGAGCGUCAUUAAAACUCCGUUCCAUGAUUGGCCAGUAUGCAUCACCGGCUUUGAUUUCACAUAGACUAAUAAGAUCCCGCCAAGCAGCGGAGUACGUUUUACGGAUCUGAGCCAUCCGGCGGAAAAAGGGCAUAGGGUGUUUUUCAGGAUCGGGGAGUGAGGUCACAAGGGUAGCAGCUUGGGAAGGGUUAAAGGUAACAUACAUAGGCGGUGCUCCAUCCGCACCAUGGUUGAUCGGGAUGUAACCUUGAGGGAUAGUGUGCUGUUGGGGGAGCCUAUUCACCCCCACCUGGGGCGAAUUCUGGUCAACCGCAACAACCUCUUCGGGCAACACUGGGCCACGGCGGAGGGUAGCCUCAGGGGUAGCUGUAGCGGGGACAACAGGGAGGGCUGUGGUAGGUAAGGUAACUGGGUGGAAACCCGAAGCCUGGGGGGAGGCACCCAUUGCAUAGGGCUGGUCAGAUGUCCCAGACACCUCGGAUCCAACCACCAUGAUUGGGUAACUUGGACUGGCGGAAGGGACACGAGGGACCAAAGCCGGGGAAGGGGCUGUCACAGGGGCCGGGUGGGUUGGGCGUGAGAGGUGUGUAUUUAGGACAUGUGCAAGGGCGGAGAUUGGAUCGGAGGGCUCGGGGACUUCGGCAGGAGACAAGGGUGGGGUCGGUUCGGGGGGAGGAGGAGGAGGAGGAAGAGGAGGUACGUCAAUGGGAGGUGGUACGGGGGUCGCGGAAGUAACUAGGGAAGUAACAGCAGUGAAGAGGGCGGAUAUUGAGCCGGACAGGUCAUUGGUCAUGUGUGUGUCAGGGGUCAUG